CUCUGCAGUAACUGCUGAGACCCCACCAAAGAGCAGAAAUUAGGGAGAAAUUUCAGAAGCCAGCUUGGACAUGAUGCUUUCUAUCUGCGUGAACGUGAGGAAAAGAUAAAGGUGAGUGCAAUAGAUGUUGCAGAGGCUGCAUAGCCUGCAGGUCAGUGUGAGCCCACACUGAACACACAUCGGGUCUCUGCACCAGCAAAGUAAUCUGAAGGCAAUUUUGGAGAGCUGCGUGCUCACCAAACACCGAGCUGCCUUUAUCUGAAAUAUAUUGUCUGUGUUAAGGAACUUCAAUACCAGAUGUCUUACGUGCAAGACAGACAGCCGGUUCAACUACAGCAGUACUCCAACAGGGAUGAAUAUCAUCAUGGGGGGGAUUGCAAAGCACAUUAAGGGGGAAAUGGGUGCUGAGAUUUCUUCCUCCUGGUGGUCCCCUGGAAGACAGAGACACGCUGUGGUAGGAGGGCUGAAUGUUGUGGCUGAAGUCAGAGAAAAACCAGGCAGAGAGGAGCCCAGGGAGCACUCUGGAGCAUUGGGAUUGCAGGUCAGUCCCCACAGCACAUACCUCCAUCAGGUGGACAUAGUUUGGUGUCUGAAGAAACAACAGCGAGAUCAAAUAUCCAUUAGAAUGAUUUCUUCUCUUUCCAUGCAUUCCAUCAUGAGUGGUGACAGGAGCUGUAGGGCUCGAGAAUGUCAACCCAUAGGACAUCUCACACCUGGGCUGCCCUUAAGGAGGGAAGGGACGGGCCCAGUAACACACACACUUCAGUGGACGUAGAGCACUGCUAAUCUACAUCAGGACUUACACCAGGGCUCCUAUCUACCCCGGUCCUGCUCUGUAAGGAGCCUGAAUUCCGCGGCAGGCAAAGAGACACUCAUUUGGUGGAGAGCAGGGAUUCCUCUGUGAGCCCCACCAGAUGGAAACCCAUUUUGCUCAGGAACUGCACUGGGAGUUGACACACUUCUUGCAAAACAAGCACAGUGCCAAAUCUCCAGGCAGAAAGCCAUGCUUGAAAAGGGUUUUUUUUUUUAACAAUGUGCUCUCAUCUGCUUUUUCCUCUUAGCAAAAACUUCCUCACUUACCAGUUUAUAUCUCCCGCUGCCAUAGUUUCCCUUCAGCUUCAUAUCUCAGCUCCUGCUCUGCUCUCUGUGCACAUUUAUACACCAAACACUUUGCAGAAAACUUGAAAGGACUGCAUUGUCCUGCUAAUUGGUUAUAAGCACGUUAUCUGCAAUCUGCUGUCCCUGCCCAGCUAUUGUGCUCCCUUGGGGAUAAAACACACAUUAUUUAUUUGGAAUAAGUGCAUGUUAUGCUUAUAACAAGAUAAGCACAAAACAAAAAAAUUACAAAUUAGAAACAUCAUUUUUCUCUUCACAAUGUUCAAGCUGGGAAUAUAAGCACUUGUACAAUAUAUGCAUGCAUACAGUGAAGGCAUAUAUGCAGGAUCCAUCUGAUUUGCCAGACCUGAAUACCUCAGUUUUGAGAACCACGUGUGCAAAUGCCAAGUAAUCUGACUGCUGCUGAAGGUGGACGUGGUGUAAAUCUGAGACCUCUGCAGGCUGCUGAGGGAUGCUCUGCACGUUAUCACAGCCUCAGAUGACCCUGGAGAAAAUCUCUGAGUGAGGAAAGAGGAUACAACUGGAAAAAAAGAACAGGCUAUGUGAGGAAUAUUUAUAAAACAUUUCUAAUCUCUACUCUCUGCAUAUCUUGAGAGAUGAGGAAAGUGCUUCUUGAGAGAAGGCUCUGUAGGCAGGCUGCAGUAAGGGGUGCUCAAAAUGCACAUCCAUUACUUUUGGGUGGUUUAUCAGUUUCAUUAUCAGAUUCAAAAUUAGAACCCCUUCCUUGUGAGCAGUGGUAAUUGUGUCUUAAAAAGGCACAGUGAAGAAAAUACAGUUGUGUGCAGAUCUGCAGAGCACAAUGGGGCCUCCACUGCCAGCAGGGGUCCCAGGCAUGAUCUCUCCUCUUGGGCAAUUCCAACGGGAGAACCCUGAUAACCCUCAUAUCUAGAUCUGUAAGAGCAACUCAUUGUCCUCUGCUAUCCUGUAAUUUAAAUAACACAUGUAGAGCCAUCAGCAGCCGGCAGACAUAUUGUGCUAUACAGUUGCCUUGCUGUUCAAAUUAACGUAAUUACACGCCCAGUUCUCCUAUUUCAGUUGUAAUAGUGAAAACAGUGAACUUGCUGAUAACAGUGAGUACAAAGGCUCUGUUUUCUAGUUUAAGAGCUAAGCUCUUGUGUCAAAAGAGCAGUUUAAAGUUCACAGCCUGCUCUUAGUGGUCACACUUCAGCCACCAGGUGCACUUACCCAGCUCCACUUUCCUCCUUUCUCUCCAGAAUGCUUUAUGGGGAAGAGCUGUGUUUCCCUAAAUAAGGCAAAUAUCCUUUAUUCAGCUGGGCACUGGCAUGGAGUAACAUCAGUGUGGUUUCGAUAUGGCUCAAAAACCGUGGGUUGUUAAGCUGUGGUGGAAGGCAGCACGUGAAAAACCCCAGCCCUUCUUUCAUGAAAGGGGAGCUCAGGCCUCAGCCUUGGAUGAAGGCUCCUUGUGCAGCCCUGUACCACUUUGCCCCCUAAAUACAUCAUGUGAGCUCUUUGUGCCACCACAUCAUAAACCAGCCAUGGGAAUGGAAGAAGACUGCAGAGACCUCCCCAAAGGGCACCACUGCACUGCCCAGUGCCUGGCUGGAAGAGGCUGCUGAAACAAAGCAUGGGUGUAACUCAAGUUUGGAUUUAGCACUUCCUUUGCCAACAAGCACUGCUAAAAUGGAAACUGCUCAUAACAAAGAACACAAAAGCAAAACUGAAAUCAAAAAAUCCCCAUGAAGUGAUCUCGUAAUUAGCAGCUAUUUCUCAUAAAUAGCCGUUGCCUUCCAAAACUAAUUUCAUUAUGGAUAAGCAUUAGGCAGAUCUUCCCCCCAAUCUGUUUGAGCAGCAUGAAAGCACAGGUUCCCCUCCUCUCCUUGAACUCUUCCCUGUGUCAGUGUCUCCUUGCUAGCCCACAGGGUAACCGUCCAGCUCUUGGCUGGCCUAAUGAACUGUAGUGGCCCCAGUUUGCUGGCAGCCCCAGAGCUGAUCCAAAGCAAAAAACAACAGCCCGGGGCCGAGCGCUGUGUGCUUUGCCAUGGCUUCACCCAUUUGCAGCCUCCUCACUGCUGAGCUGAGUCCCACCAAAGCCUUACAUCAGCACAUCUUUGGGCCUUGUCAGCUCUUGCCAGUGUCAACUUCGAGCUGUGCUUCUCCAGAUCCAUCUCUGUGUGUCCAUGUAUCUUUAAAAGGACACAAACCCCCCUCUGCAGCCCUCUCCAUGGCAAUCUCACCUACAGAAUCCGCCAACACAAGUUUUCAAUUCUUAUCUGGAAAAGGUUUUGAAAUGGUUUUACUAUUGUGAAACAUUUUACAGGGAAGUCUGGAUUCCUUGAAUAGAUAUCUGAAUUGACGGUUGAAGCUCCAGGACAUGCCUUUGCUGCAUUUCCAGUUCUCCUCCUCCACCACUAAAGUUUUCCCCAUGCAAUCUAAGAUCCUUCAUCAACUAGAAAAAUUAGAAGAAGUCAACUGAAUCAUCACAAGAUCACGUCCAUGUGUAGCAAAACUGUUUUAAGUGUCUCCUCCCCUGUUUUGCUGUGCUGCGCAGUUUGUCAUCCCCUCAGCUGUGCCCCCCCAUUCUGGUGUCCCUGCUGAGAAACAGCUUCCAGAAAACAGUCAGUUCAAACUUUUUUAUAAGUGCUUUUUUUUUUACCUUCUUCUGUGAUCUAUCUAUCUUUGUACUGUGGCCCCAGUUGUCCCGGUCAGCUCCAGCACAGCGUGGGAGGGGAUGGCCAGGCACUGCUCUGCCCCAGCUCCAAAGGAACCGUGGUAAAAGAAGCAACUCCAAGGGGGUUACAAGGAGGAGCUUGCAAGGCCUCCUGGCUCCUCUGCAGAGCUUCUCCCUCCUGUCAAAUGAUCCACUCAUCCUCCCCAGCUCAGAAAUCCUGCCCAUGCUGAUUUCCAGUUAAAGGAAGACCAACGACUCUACACAUCCACUUGGAAACACCAUCUGAAAUGUUGCGGAUCCCUCAACACUGUGCACUCAGAUCUGGGAAGAAAUACGAGUCCUCAACAGGACUCAAAGCACCUUUGUGAAGGCUCUUUCUAACUGUUGACAUUCUAUGUUCUGUUUUCAAAUGCACUUUAUUUGCAUUACCUGAAUAAACCUUCUGUUAAUAAGUUACCUAGCAGCUCUGAGUGAUCAGAACAGUAGUUAAUCUGCUGAUAAUGUUGAUAUUCAGGCAAAUAAGAGUAGCGACUGAACAAAGUUGAAUACAAGUUGGGAAUGCUUUGCUUGCUGAGAGGUCUCUAGUUUGCUUACGUGUUAACUCACAUCUCAGCUAAUGAGAAAAAACAAGUAUUGGGAGUUAUUCAAAACGAAGCUCUGGGCUGCAUGCAGCAAACACACAGCUCUGAUACUGAUUGUUAAAAAUACUUUGUUCUCUACCUUAGGAGUUUAGGAAUUAGCUGUUUAUUAUCGGGGAUCUUUCUGAACAUCCUUCCCAAGUAAAUAAGGAAAUCCUUCUUAAAAGAGUCUGAAGAAGUGUUUGUUAAACCUUUUUGUUCCCAGACACUCCAGUUCUCCUCUCGCACACCGAUGUCAGCUUGAGUUCAACCUGAAAAAACCGAGCAUGGCAAAGCAAAAACCCGAGCCCUGAGAGCAAACACCCUGCAGCUCAGUGAAGCACGCAGCAGUUUGCUUUCAGUUAACUAUUGCUAUAGUUAUAUUUUUCAGUUAAACAUUACACAACUUUGGAGUAGGAAUGGUGAAAAUAAAGGCGUGUUGACCCAGGAGACAGCUCCCCUUUCAGUGCUCCCUUCUGCCCUUUCUGUUUUCUGUGUUUCAGUGCCGUUCAAGCCCAGAAACUCACCUUGCACCUGGCAACAUCUGCCACCUGUAAAUGCUGGAGCUUCACAGGUCCCCUCCGUGCAGCAGUCGGGCCACAGAGCUGUACUGAUCCUCGGUUUGCUGGUAGAUAUGGGGAGAUUCUGCUCCUCACUGCAGAAAGACUCAUUUUUCAGGGCAGAAGGAAAAUGCAUUUGCUAUUCAGCAUCACUGAAGACACAAACUGAAGAUCCACGUAAGCAAUAAGGUAUUUCUGCACCUCCUGCAAGACAUUUAUGCAACACCUUCUAUAAUAUUAAAGCGUGUGCAAUUUUAUCACUACUGUGAUAUCACUGGCGUGUUCCCU
ensembl:lncRNA